rnacentral:rRNA from 1 species
CUUUUUCUGGUAGGACUAGCCAUGCUAGUCGUGCGCGUCCAACCAUGAGGACGAGCGGCAGACCGCUCAGUAACACGUAGCUAACCUACCCUCAGGACGUGGAUACCCCCGGGAAACUGGGGCUAAUCCGCGAUAGGUAUGGAGGCCUGGAAUGGUUCCAUGCCCAACGGCACAGCGAUCAUGUUUGUUGUGCGCCUGAGGAUGGGGCUGCGGCCGAUCAGGCAGUUGGCGAGGUAACGGCUCACCAAACCUUUGACCGGUACGGGCCAUGAAAGUGGUAGCCCGGAGAUGGGCACUGAGACAGGGGCCCAGGCCCUACGGGGCGCAGCAGGCGCGAAAACUCCACAAUGUACGACAGUACGAUGGGGUUAUCUCGAGUGCAGUCCGAUAAGGGCUGCUUUUCCAUAGAGUAAUAUCCUGUGGGAAUAAGAGGGGGGCAAGACUGGUGUCAGCCGCCGCGGUAACACCAGCCCCUCGAGUGGUGGGGACUAUUAUUUGGUCUAAAGCGUCCGUAGCUGGCUGUAUCCGUCCUCCGUUAAAUCCAGCGUCCUAAGCGUUGGACUGCGGAUGAUACCAUACAGCUAGAGGGUGGGAUAGGUGAGCGGUAUUUCUGGGGUAGGGGCGAAAUCCUUUGAUCCCAGGAGGACCACCAGUGGCGAAGGCUGCUCACUAGAACACGCCUGACGGUCAGGGACGAAAGCUGGGGCAGCGAACCGGAUUAGAUACCCGGGUAGUCCCAGCUGUAAACGAUGCUAGCUAGGUGUUGGGUCGGCCACGCGCCGCCCCAGUGCCGCAGGGAAGCCGUUAAGCUAGCCACCUGGAGAGUACGGCCGCAAGGCUGAAACUUAAAGGAAUUGGCGGGGGAGCACCACCAGGCGUGAAGCCUGCGGUUUAAUUGGAGUCAACGCCGGG